AUGCGCAUCACCAUGGCUUCCCGUGUAGCAUCAACGAGCGUCUUCCACCAGCUCCUCUUCCUCCCGCUCCUCGCCGGUCACUGCGCCGCUGCUGCCGCGGCGGUGGCAACGACUGGAACGGCGCCGGUAGUGGCGAGCGUUCCGUUGGACGUCGGGGUGAUACUGGACCUGGCGACUGGGCUGGGGAAGAAGAGCCUCCUCGGCAUGGAGAUGGCGGUGCACGACUUCUAUGCCGCGCACCCCGGGUACACCACCAGGGUGAAGCUCCACGUCAGGGACUCCAACCGCAGCGUCGUCGCCGCCGCAUCCGCAGCACUAGAUCUCAUCAAUAACAAAAAGGUUGGGAUUGUCAUCGGUCCGCAGAAUACUUUACAAGCAGAAUUCCUGACCUACCUAGCAAAUACCACCAAGGUUCCCGUCAUCACUUCCUCUGCAACAGGUGAUACAGUUACUCAAUAUCAUGUCCCAUACUUCCUUCGUGCUUGUGUCAAGGGCUCCUUCCAAGCAGCUUCGAUUGCUGCCUUUGUCAAGUCCUACGGCUGGAAAAAUGUUGUUCUUGUCUAUGAGGACAACAACUACGGUGCUGGCAUUCUCCCUUCCAUUACCGACGCCCUUGAAGCCGUUGAUGUCCAUGUCAUUAACCGCUCUGCCAUCCCUACUUCUUGCCCCGGUGACCGCAUUGAUGCGGAACUAUACAAGCUCAUGACCAUGCAGACGCGUGUCUUCAUCGUCCAUAUGUUGCCAGCCGACGCUGCCCGCCUAUUUGCUCGGGCUUCAGCAAUCGGUAUGCUGACUGAAGGCUAUGUCUGGAUGGUCACGGAUGACAUCGGCAUUGCCCUUGAUGUGCUCCCCCAACAUACCACUGAAACCAUGCUGGGUGUUGUUGGUUUCCGUCCAUAUGUAGCAAAGUCUACAAGGAUUACUGGUUUCAUGGAUCGGUUUGUCACUCGAUACAGAGCCAAAUACCAUCAAGAUCCUGAUGUUAGGGUGGCAAAACCGACCAUGUUCCAGUAUUGGGCAUAUGAUGUGGUAUGGGCAAUUGCAUCUGCAACAGAGAAAUCCAAGAGGCCCAGAUCCUUAAAUCUAGGAUCUACCACAGGUUAUAUGGGCAAGUUAGUAGAUGAUCUGCAACCAUCUCCUGCUGGCCCAGAACUCCUAGCUUCCAUAAUAGGUGGGGAGUUUUAUGGAUUGGCUGGGAGAUUCAGGUUUGUUGAUAGGCAUUUGCCGGUUCCACAAUAUGAGAUCGUCAAUGUGAUUGAAGAGAAGAUUAGACGCAUUGGGUUUUGGAGCCCUGGUUAUGGACUCUCAGCUUUUCUCAACUCUAGCACUAGACCAGGCCAAGCUAGACGUAGGGCAAAAGCUGGUCAAGUCCUGAGAGCUGUCAUUUGGCCAGGUGAUUCAAUUACAGUGCCUAGAGGUUGGGACUUCCCAGCAAAUGGCAAGAUACUGCAGAUUGCUGUGCCCGUGAGACGGGAUUUUAAGGUUUUUGUCAAAGUUGAGAAUCCUAACUCUAGUAUGCAAAGUGUCACUGGCUACUGCAUUGAUGUCUUUGAGGCUGCUGUGAAGAAACUACCAUAUGCACUACCCUUCAAGUACAUGCCCUACGACUGUGCAAAUUCAUAUGAUAAACUGGUAUCACAGGUUUACUUCAAGACAUAUGAUGGAGCAGUGGGUGAUGUGACAAUUAUUGCCAAUCGGACUAGGUAUGUAGACUUCACAGUGCCAUACACAGAGUCCGGUGUGUCUAUGCUUGUCCUAGCUAGGAAAGAUGAGGAUGAACCAACGAUGUGGAUCUUCUUAAAGCCACUGACGACUGACCUUUGGAUUGCUAUGGUAGUGUUUAUUGUAUUCACUGGCCUAGUUGUAUGCACGAUUGAAAAGCCUGUAAAUGAUCAAGUCCAGGGUUCCAAAUGGAAACAGCUCAACACUUAUUUUUACUUUGCAUUCUCCACUGGGACUUCUACGCAUGAUCAAAAGUUCAAAAGCCUUCAGUCAAAAGUUAUUAUGGUGUCCUGGUGCUUUGUACUGCUAGUUAUAGUGCAGAGCUACACAGCCAGCUUGUCGUCAAUGUUAACUGCAAAGAGGCUCCAACCUUUGGUGACUGACCCAAUGCAACUUUUGCACAAAGGUGACUAUGUUGGAUACCAGAACGGAUCAUUUGUGCACUCGAUGCUGAGGAGGCUCCAUUUUGAGGACCGCCAGAUGAUGUCUUUUAGCACUCGGGAGGAAUAUGCAGACGCAUUGAGGAAGGGGUCUAAGGAAGGAGGGGUAUCUGCCAUCUUUGAUGAGACACCAUACAUAAACUCUUUCCUCUUGCUGUACGGAAAAGAUUUCCAGAAGGUUGGCCCCAUUGACAGGACGGUCGGUUUUGGUUUUGCUUUUCCUAAAGGCUCUCCGUUGGUGGAGGAUCUUUCCAAGGCCAUGCUCAAUUUAAUAGAAGGGUCUGAAGGUUCUGAUAUUGAGAGGAAAUGGUUUGGGGAUCGGAUUUUGUCACUGGAUUAUGGCAGUCCAGACACUAGCUUCUCACGACUCAGUUCACGAAGCUUCAAAGGUCUAUUCAUCAUCAAUGGAUGCAUUUUAGGUUUGAUGUUUCUCAUAAACUGCUCGAGGUACGCAUAUGCAAAAUUCACUGCCAAAAGAAAAGCUGCUGCUGCUAGUGAUGGCGAGGCACAACCUUCGACGAAUGGUAACGACAUACCUGCUGUCUAG
rnacentral:rRNA from 1 species